AUUUUUUCCGACUGCCUUGCCUUUUGCUGGUUUUUGUGCUGCCCCAAGUCGACCCGACCCUCACUCUUACCCUGCUCGAUAAUGAUCUCUUUGUUGGAUUGGAAGCAGGAGGACUGAGAGGCAGGCAGCUGGCGGUAAGCAAAAACAAACUCAUAACGAUCUGCUGGAGAGAUCUAUCUGACUGGCCACCGAUAGAUGGGAAUUCCAAUAUCAAAUGUGGAGCAUUUCGGUUUUGGAAACUGUGUCGCAGCCAUAAAUCAGACAAGCCAUUGACACAUUUCCUAGAGCUUUCGGGUUGUAUUUUUAACAGUUCCAACAUCUAUCAAAAA